AGAGUUUGAUCCUAGCUCAGGAUGAACGCUGGCGGCAUGCCUAAUACAUGCAAGUCGAACGAAGUUUCGAGGAAGCUUGCUUCCAAAGAGACUUAGUGGCGAACGGGUGAGUAACACGUAGGUAACCUGCCCAUGUGUCCGGGAUAACUGCUGGAAACGGUAGCUAAAACCGGAUAGGUAUACAGAGCGCAUGCUCAGUAUAUUAAAGCGCCCAUCAAGGCGUGAACAUGGAUGGACCUGCGGCGCAUUAGCUAGUUGGUGAGGUAACGGCUCACUAAGGCGAUGAUGCGUAGCCGGCCUGAGAGGGUAAACGGCCACAUUGGGACUGAGACACGGCCCAAACUCCUACGGGAGGCAGCAGUAGGGAAUUUUCGUCAAUGGGGGAAACCCUGAACGAGCAAUGCCGCGUGAGUGAAGAAGGUCUUCGGAUCGUAAAGCUCUGUUGUAAGUGAAGAACGGCUCAUAGAGGAAAUGCUAUGGGAGUGACGGUAGCUUACCAGAAAGCCACGGCUAACUACGUGCCAGCAGCCGCGGUAAUACGUAGGUGGCAAGCGUUAUCCGGAAUCAUUGGGCGUAAAGGGUGCGUAGGUGGCGCACUAAGUCUGUAGUAAAAGGCAAUGGCUCAACCAUUGUAAGCUAUGGAAACUGGUAUGCUGGAGUGCAGAAGAGGGCGAUGGAAUUCCAUGUGUAGCGGUAAAAUGCGUAGAUAUAUGGAGGAACACCAGUGGCGAAGGCGGUCGCCUGGUCUGUAACUGACACUGAGGCACGAAAGCGUGGGGAGCAAAUAGGAUUAGAUACCCUAGUAGUCCACGCCGUAAAC
rnacentral:rRNA from 1 species